rnacentral:lncRNA from 1 species
UGUGACCUUCCUCCCCUGCCUCCUGGACAUGUCCGGCAACCACAGCUCCCCGCGUCCGGCGAUCACCUCGCAUGCGUCGUCUCUCGAGCGGCCGGCGCCUCGCUGUCGCCGGUAGCUGACCGGCCGGACUCAAUGAUACUCUUCCCCGACGCCUCGUCGUUGCCUCUCCUCGCAUGCUACCAUCACGUCGUGUUUCCUCUAUAUCAAGGACGAAGCGCCCGUGUCUGCAUCCUCUCCACGUGCCGAGCGCCUGCAGCAGCAGCAUACCCGAGAUCCUCCGCUCGCCAGACCUCGCGGGCCUCAGCUCUGGAUCCCUCGGAUCUCGUCAUCGCCCAUGUUCCCGUCUCCUGCUGCUAGCCUGCGUCGCCGCAC